rnacentral:rRNA from 1 species
UACGUAGGGGCUAGCGUUGUCCGGAUUUAUUGGCGUAAAGAGCGUGUAGGCGGCCAGGUAGGUCUGCUGUGAAAAAACUCGAGGCUCAACCUCGAGACGUCGGCGGAAAAACCAUCUGGCUAGAGUCCGGAAAAGAGGCGAGUGGAAUUCCCCGGUGUAGCGGUGAAAUGCGCAGAUAUCGGGGAGGAAACACCAAUGGCGAAAGGCAGUUUCGCGAUGGGACGGUACUGACGCUGAGACGCGAAAGCGUGGGGAGCAAAAUAGGG